GAUCCUGGCUCAGGAUGAACGCUAGCUACAGGCUUAACACAUGCAAGUCGGAGGGGCAGCAUGAACUUAGCUUGCUAAGUUUGAUGGCGACCGGCGCACGGGUGAGUAACACGUAUCCAACCUGCCGAUGACUCGGGGAUAGCCUUUCGAAAGGAAGAUUAAUACCCGAUGGCAUAGUUCUUCCGCAUGGUAGAACUNUUAAAGAACUUGGUCAUCGAUGGGGAUGCGUUCCAUUAGG
rnacentral:rRNA from 1 species